rnacentral:rRNA from 1 species
AUGGUUGCGGCGGCCGCCGGCGUGCCCCCCUCCUCCCUCCUCCACCUGCGCCUCCCCUCGCCCCAGCCCGCCGCCUCCCCGCCCUCCUCCUCGCCGGCGCUGCUCCGGCCCCUCCUCUCCCUCGCCGCCGCGCCCCAGCGCGCCUCCGUCGCCGCCGCCGCCGCCGACUCCAGCAACGGCAACGGCUCCUACUCCGGUAACGGCAGUCAGGCAUCGCUGAUGCCACAGUUCAGCGGCCUUAUGCUUGAUGAAAGCUCCAGGUCUAAAAGGCCGUAUAAAUGGCAAAGGGUUUUGCUAAAGGUAAGCGGCGAAGCGCUUGCCGGGGAUCAUACGGAAAACAUUGACCCAAAGGUUACAAUGGCAAUUGCAAGAGAGGUUGCUUCCGUCACCAAACUAGGCGUAGAGGUUGCUAUUGUUGUUGGUGGCGGCAAUAUCUUCCGUGGGGCCUCUUGGGCUGGAUGUAGUGGUCUUGACCGCUCCUCGGCGGAUUACAUCGGUAUGAUGGCCACUGUGAUGAAUGCAAUAUUUCUUCAAGCAACAAUGGAGAGCAUUGGGAUACCGACCCGUGUCCAAACUGCAUUCCGUAUUUCAGAAGUCGCAGAACCAUACAUACGCCGAAGAGCAAUCAGGCACUUAGAGAAAGGAAGAGUUGUUAUAUUUGCUGCUGGGACAGGGAACCCAUUCUUCACAACUGAUACAGCUGCUGCUCUCCGUUGUGCAGAAAUCAACGCAGAGGUAGUGCUCAAGGCAACAAACGUUGAUGGUGUGUAUGAUGCGAACCCCAAGCAUAACCCAAAUGCCCGCAUCCUCGAGACAGUGAGCUACAACGAGGUGAUCUCAAGAGACCUCUCAGUAAUGGACAUGACUGCCGUCACACUAUGCCAGGAGAACAACAUUCCUGUUGUCGUGUUCAACCUGCAAAACACUGGAAACAUCGCGAAAGCCAUCGUCGGCGAGAAGGUCGGUACCUUCAUAGGCUGCACAAGGAAUCUGGAAUACCGCGAAAGCACGGAGGGUUCGCUGGAUCAAGAAGACAAGAUCUUGGUUAGUGAGUGGUGA